rnacentral:rRNA from 1 species
AACGAACGCUGGCGGCAUGCCUAACACAUGCCAGUCGAACGAGACCUUCGGGUCUAGUGGCGCACGGGUGCGUAACGCGUGGGAACCUGCCCUUAGGUUCGGAAUAACUCCCCGAAAGGGGUGCUAAUACCGGAUAAUGUCUUCGGACCAAAGAUUUAUCGCCUUUGGAUGGGCCCGCGUUGGAUUAGCUAGUUGGUAGGGUAAAAGCCUACCAAGGCGACGAUCCAUAGCUGGUCUGAGAGGAUGAUCAGCCACACUGGGACUGAGACACGGCCCAGACUCCUACGGGAGGCAGCAGUGGGGAAUAUUGGACAAUGGGCGAGAGCCUGAUCCAGCAAUGCCGCGUGAGUGAUGAAGGCCUUAGGGUUGUAAAGCUCUUUUACCCGGGAUGAUAAUGACAGUACCGGGAGAAUAAGCGCCGGCUAACUCCGUG